rnacentral:rRNA from 1 species
UGAAUCCUACGGGACGCAGCAGUAGGGAAUCUUCCUCAAUGGGCGAGAGCCUGAUGGAGCAACGCCGCGUGGGUGAAGAAGGUCUUCGGAUCGUAAAACCCUGUUGUUAGAGAAGAAAGUGCGUGAGAGUAACUGUUCACGUUUCGACGGUAUCUAACCAGAAAGCCACGGCUAACUACGUGCCAGCAGCCGCGGUAAUACGUAGGUGGCAAGCGUUAUCCGGAUUUAUUGGGCGUAAAGGGAACGCAGGCGGUCUUUUAAGUCUGAUGCGUAAGCCUUCGGCUUAACCGGAGUAGUGCAUUGGA